UGGGGAAUUUUGCACAAUGGGGGAAACCCUGAUGCAGCGACGCCGCGUGAUUUAGAAGGCCUUCGGGUUGUAAAAAUCUUUUCUAUGGGAAGAAAAUGACAGUACCAUAGGAAUAAGGACCGGCUAAUUACGUGCCAGCAGCCGCGGUAAUACGUAAGGUCCGAGCGUUGUCCGGAAUCAUUGGGCGUAAAGGGUACGUAGGCGGGUAAGCAAGUUAGAAGUGAAAUCCUGUAGCUCAACUACAGUAAGCUUUUAAAACUGCUCAUCUUGAGAUAUGGAAGGGAAAGUGGAAUUCCUAGUGUAGCGGUGAAAUGCACAGAUAUUAGGAGGAAUACCGGUGGCGAAGGCGACUUUCUGACCAUAAUCUAACGCUAAGGUACGAAAGCGUGAGUAGCAAACCGG
rnacentral:rRNA from 1 species